AAAAACUCAUGUCAUUUCAUUAUUUAAUAAAGAGAUAAUACAUAGAGGUAACAACUCAAAGAUAUAGUGACUAGACCAAGAGAUGGUCUCCCUAGCAAGCGUGUGAGCAACCAUGUUUGCUUGUCGCUUAAUAAACUUUACCACAAAGUUUGAAUUUAAAGACAAAACAUUUCUAAUGUUACAAAUGAGGGAGCUAAAUUCGGAGUUUCCAAUGCGUAAAUUGUGUAUAGCGUCUACCACAUUCCACGAGUCCGUUUCAAAAAUGACAUGUGUGAAGCCUCUGCGCCGUUUCUUUCACCGCUUCAAGUAAAGCUAUUGCCUCACCUUCAAUUAUAGAGCAUUUUCCUUGUUUCCAAGAUAUUCCCCCCACCACAAAUUGACCCGUUUGAUCUCGCAAAAUCCAUCCCGCAUUUGUUUUGUUUAUGUCGCUAUGAAAUCCUUCAUCGGUGUUGCAUUUAUACCAUCCCAUAGGGAUUUUUGCCACUGAGAUACCCGCUGCUGCUGUUCGGUAAUGUGUCUGCCUCGCUGAGUAUUUUGAACUUGUUUCCAUUCUUGUCAAAGCUGUCUAGCUUUCACGCCUAAGCUUCUUCCAUCUUCUUUUUCAUUGUUCCAAACCAUAUUAUUCCUGUUGUUCCAAAUGACUCAGACUAGCAUAGCGACUCUACCUGCCACAUCUUUGUCUUCGGUACUGCACAUGUCCAGAAUUAAAUCACUUGCUGUGUUCAUAUGCUGCAAUCGGUCUGUUAUUACUUCCUCUAAUCCAGCAGCUUGUCUAGCUUGGAUACUACCAACACAGUUAAAUAGCACAUGCCAAUCAUCCUCAAUACUAUAAUUACAAAGUGGACACUCCAUAGGACAAGGUACACACCUUUCUUGUAGCCGAAAGCGGGUUGGCAAACAGCUUUUACAUAUACGCCAAAGUAAGUGUUUGGCCUUUGGAGAAGCAUGUAUUUUCCAUAAGCUAUUCCAACCAUCUUGGUGUAGAUC
rnacentral:lncRNA from 1 species